UUUCUCCACCCCGCAGUGAGCGGCGGUCAAAGCGGUGCGGAAGAUUACCGACAAUCCAGCUCUCCCCGAUCCCUAUCUCUCUCCCAGUUGCAAGUCCUCAUCCCGGCGUCUCUCUUUCUCCCCAAUCCCCACCUCUGCCGUCCACAUGCUCCACCUAGGACCGCUCCCCCUCCUCUUCCUCCCUGGAUGUCGUGAACGUGCAGAGGCGUCUGUAGCGCGCUCCCAGUCCGAGCUCCUCUGGCUGGUGGCAUGGCGUCACUCGCCGGCUGCAACUCCCGACGAUCUCUCCGGAUGGUCUGUCGCACGACGGCCAACGGCGUUUUCCGCCGGCGAAACGGCCUUCCUUUCAGUGCCCGCUGUGCUGCUGACCGCCGGCGAGCGCGCUCCUGGAAAUAUAGAGAUCAGUACUACCGCCGGCCAGCUGCACCACCUGUUCGUGUGCUUCGACAAUCUGAAGAAAUUUUGUUUGUUGAUGCACUACGGAUUACUGAAGAUUUGUUACUACAAACAAUUGAAAAGAACAAGUGUGUCAAAGUACUAGCAUAUCUCAAAUUUCUGAAGCAUAUGGUUGUGGAGGCUUUCCUACUUCAACUGAGGAUGGGCCAGACCACCAGACGGGCACCUCAACAAUGCACAUGAUUGGCGGUGCCCUCCCGUGGAUGUUCCCAAGCAGACAAAAACUGAACUAGAGUUGAUUUUGGUCUAGGAGGUAGAGCAUGAAGACCAUGGUGCAGAACUUGCACAACCACGUUAAGGUAAAGUCUCAUGCCAAUUGAAUUUUCUUUUGUUUGUAGCAUGGUCUGAUUUUACCACAAUAACCACCUAAAUAUGAUAUUCCAGUUUCCUUUUUUUAUCGCACAAAGUGUAAUUAGGUUCCGGUAAUGUAGGGAGAAAUAUCAUUUUCUUAUGUGCUCCUUCAAUUAGUUUGCUUACCUUUAUAGGUGCAGCUGACCAUGCUGUUGGUCAUUUUCUUGACAGCUGAGCCACUUCAGUAAAACAAGAAGCUGACCUUGCUAAUGGCUAUUUUCCUUACAGGUUGGCUUCAUUUAAAUGUGGAAUUCAUGAGUACAUGUUGUCUGAUUGUGGUUAUGUGUUAUUUAUAUUUCUCUAUACUUUAGGCUUCUCAGGAUUCAAAUUUUGUAGCCAUAUUAUUUCGGUGCAACUUAUUCAUCGUGUCGGCUGUAUGGGAAGUUUGGCGCAGCGCACACCGCACCCGUGUUGUUAAUCGUGCAGCAUGUAUUGCUAACUUCUGAUUCUUAGGGGCCUGUCUUUUUUUAGCGUGCGGUCGCUGCUUGUGUCUAGAGGCGUGCACGUGACCUGUUGUGGCUAAUCGGUGCAGCAGGGGAAUGCACAGCGCAAUUGGUGUAUCCUUCUGGGGAAGUGAGUGCUGCCUCCAGCCCUCGACCAUCUUCAUUACUUGCACGAGGAAGGACGAUUCCUUCUGGGGAAGUGAGUGCUGCCUCCAGCCUCGACCUUCUUCAUUACUUGCACGAGGAAGGACGAUUUGAGAGCGGCGUGGAGGGGCAGACGAUGGCGAGCGCGACCAAAUUGAUGCGCAGUUCAGAGCUCUAUGCCCCCUUUCUCCAUAACUUUCCAUGCAAUUUAUUCAUCGUGCUGACUAUAUGGAAUUUCGAAAUUAGGUAUAUGAAAGGGGGAGCUAUCAGCUGUAAGUUUGUAGAGUGGGUAUAUGCAAGUUAUCCUCCGAGUUAGGAUCGAUAAAUAUGUAUAUAUCAAUUUUUCUAUCACCGUUGUUUGUUCCAGCAUUCAACCAUCUAUAUCUUGCACUAGGUGAAAUGUUUGGAAAAUGUAUUAUCUACAUGGCUGGCAUGCCAUACAUUGGAAGCAAGCAAUGAUACCAUCUGUAGGUGCUCGCGAAGCAACCCUAAGCUUGCUAACAACAGCUUUGAAUUCCUUUUCGUCCUUGAUGCUUACAUUUGCUUCCAUCCGAGAAGGCAAGAAACCUCUACCUUUCCCUCCCAUUGUUAAUUUACUUCUCUUUACCUAUUCUGGUAGGAACUUACUAGGUUGAGACCACUUGGCAAUGAAGUGAUCAGCUAUAGUGCCUUGAAACCUCUUCAAUUUUUCAUUGGGUUGACAAUUUCUUUCUUUCAGUUUUUCACAACAGAUAUUGAUAAUGAGGCACCGUGCAAUAUUCUUUGUUAGCUGGAAAAGGACUAAGAUGCUACGUAGCUUUAGCUCCAAAUUGCAGCACAUAUCACUCCAUGGUAGCUACAGAAGAAAGAACGGCAUACCAGAUAUUGGUAGACUAGCUAUCAUUCAGUCGAGUACUCCCGUCGAUUAUCUCCUUCCGCUUCCCUUGCUACUACCAAGUCCCCAAUAAUUUAUUAGAUGGAGCCCUCUUUCCCAAGAAUGGAAAACCAACUACAAAAACAAGAAAUAUACUAUAUCAAGAAGUGCUUGCUAAUCUUUAAACGACACAUAUAUAGGUACUAUUUUGGUUGGCUAACUUCACAAUGUAUAUUUUCUUACCCAUAGAUUAUACAUUUACAUGCCUAAUUCCUGUCCUCAAUUUCCCCCUUUUUACGCUCCCGGACAAGAAAAGUUUUCUGUUCUUUGAUGUGUUUAUGUAUGUACUUAACACAGAUUUACAUGGAUGGUAGUUGCAAGUGCCCAAUUCUUGAUGAAUCCAUAUGCAAGCGGACACGGCUCCAACUGUCGAUCACUUUGUUUACCCAAUGGAAUGCUUAGUUUCUUCUUGUUAUGUAGCAGCCAGAGGGUUUCCACCGUGUGUCAGUUUUCUAUUAUUCUCUUGAUGGAGCUAUAUUUCGUUUCAAUGGUUGUGUUAUAAGUUACUAAGCACCUGUGUUUAAAUUCAUGUGCUGCUACCCAUGUGAAGUCUUGUGUUGCCAGUUAAUUCUAUGUUAUCGUACACUUAGUGGUUUCUGCUCCGCAUCUUCUGUCAUUCUAUGCAGCUGCAAUAAGUGUCCUAAAUGCUAUCCUUGGUCUUA